UUUCCGUAGGUGAACCUGCGGAAGGAUCAUUAUUGAAAAAACCUGAUGUGGUUGUAGCUGGCCCUUUCGGGAGCAUGUGCACACCCGUCGUCUUUAUCUUUCCACCUGUGCACCUUUUGUAGACCUGGAUGUAACACUUUCCGAGGCAACUCGGUCGGGAGGAAUGCUGUCAGCUUUCCUUGAAUGUCCAGGCCUAUGUUUUCAUAUACCCCAAAGAAUGUGACAGAAUGUAUUAUUGGGCCUUGUGCCUAUAAACUAUAUACAACUUUCAGCAACGGAUCUCUUGGCUCUC
rnacentral:misc_RNA from 1 species